AGUUUUCGCUCUCGGAUUCUAUAUUGUUAUAGCUUUGUUGACGGCGCUGAUGGACAUGUCGUCGAGAUGCGUCAUGCCUUUCAUACUAGCCGGCGUAUUGAUUGCGGACUUGGUGAUUCUUAUUAUAACGAAGCGUGAUUAGAAAGACGAGGAUACUGAAAAAUUGUUGGACAAGCAACUCGCGAGCAGGAGAAUGAAAAUCAUUCGUAUACUGCGAUAGUGCUAAUAAAUUAUUUAGCCGACUCUGUAAACUUGACAAAAGGAAAGGCAGAAUACAAGGGUUGAGAACGUUUAUUCAGUUUGUUUGCACGCUCGCAGCAGUGGUCAAUUCGCCGCUCAUUCUCAAUGAAACCUCUAUGUAUAUCAUGUAUAAAGUUUCGAAAAAUAGGAUGAUGAAAUUGCCUGCAAAUGAUCGAAAGUUCGAAUUAUAGCAAUUGAAUUGAAUCAGCAAUAUAAUAAAUUGUAGUUCGGUUAA